CAGAAAACAACAGCAGCAGCAGCAGCAGCAAUGCACUGAAUUGCAUUCUACAUUGUGUCAUCCACCAAAUUGCCAGAAAUUAACGUAGGCUUGAACAUUAAGGAACAUUAGUCAUGUGACCUGGGGUAAGUCACACUUCUCUGGGACUCAGUUUCCUUAUCCAUAAAAUGAAGAGAUAG
rnacentral:lncRNA from 1 species